rnacentral:misc_RNA from 1 species
ACUGUUCUAAUGUAUCUGUCAGAUGUUGAGGAAGGGGGUGAGACAGUGUUUCCUGCAGCAAAGGGAAACAUCACCUCUGUGCCAUGGUGGAAUGAGUUGUCUGAAUGUGGCAAGCAGGGCCUUUCAGUGAAACCCAAAAUGGGUAAUGCAUUGCUAUUUUGGAGCACAAGGCCUGAUGCAACUCUAGAUCCUUCAAGUUUGCACGGUGGUUGUCCUGUGAUUAUAGGCAACAAGUGGUCAGCUACAAAGUGGAUGCAUCUAGGGGAGUACAAGGUCUGAGCCAUUAUUAGUAAAGGAUAGGCGAACAAGUAUCAUGUGGAUCAUUUGUGCUGGCAUAUAUGGUGAAUGUCCAGACACAGAGUGGCACAUUCCUGAUCCCUCAACGGUAGAAAUAGCAUAGAAAAGUUUUACAAUUUAGGCAUAGCGAUUUUAUUUUAUUUUAAUUUUGUUUCUUAUUUCAUGGGCCCGUUUUAGCCUUCUAACUGGGAUUUAGGUCGUAAGUUGUUACUUGGUGGUCCAAAACAGAUAUGUUUUUUCUUCUU